rnacentral:rRNA from 1 species
CAGCGCCACGAGUCGCAGUCGCGAUUAUUGGGCCUAAAGCGUCCGUAGCCGGACCUGUAAAUCUUUUGUGAAAUCGUCAAGCUCAACUUGACGGCGUGCAGAAGACACUGCAGGUCUUGAGACCGGGAGGAGUCAGAAGUAUUCUUGGGGGAACGGUAAAAUGUUAUAAUCCCAGGAAGACUACCGAUGGCGAAGGCAUCUGACCAGAACGGAUCUGACGGUGAGGGACGAAAGCUAGGGGAGCGAACCGGAUUAGAUACCCGUGUAGUCC